rnacentral:ncRNA from 1 species
AUUAACAGGUCUGUGAUGCCCUUAGAUGUUCUGGGCCGCACACGCGCUACGCUGAUGGAUUCAACGUGUGUUUCCUCGCCGAAAGGCCCGGGUAACCCGCUGAACCACCUUCGUGCUUGGGAUUGGGGCUUGCAGUUGUUGCCCAUGAACGUGGAACUCCCAGUAACCGCUGGUCCUAAGAUCGCGUUGAUUACGUCCUUGCCUUUUGUACACACCACCCGUAGCUACUACCGAUUGAAUGAUUUAGUGAGGUCUUCGGACUAGUGCGCGGCAAUGCGUCAUCAUUGCCGAUGUUGCCGGGAAGAUGACCAAACUUGAUCA